UGCAGUCGAGCGAGCAGAACCAGCAGAUUUACUUCGGUAAUGACGCUGGGGACGCGAGCGGCGGAUGGGUGAGUAACACGUGGGGAACCUGCCCCAUAGUCUGGGAUACCACUUGGAAACAGGUGCUAAUACCGGAUAAGAAAGCAGAUCGCAUGAUCAGCUUAUAAAAGACGGCGUAAGCUGUCGCUAUGGGAUGGCCCCGCGGUGCAUUAGCUAGUUGGCAAGGUAACGGCUUACCAAGGCAAUGAUGCAUAGCCGAGUUGAGAGACUGAUCGGCCACAUUGGGACUGAGACACGGCCCAAACUCCUACGGGAGGCAGCAGUAGGGAAUCUUCCACAAUGGACGCAAGUCUGAUGGAGCAACGCCGCGUGAGUGAAGAAGGUUUUCGGAUCGUAAAGCUCUGUUGUUGGUGAAGAAGGAUAGAGGUAGUAACUGGCCUUUAUUUGACGGUAAUCAACCAGAAAGUCACGGCUAACUACGUGCCAGCAGCCGCGGUAAUAGAUCGGAAGAGCACACGUCUG
rnacentral:rRNA from 1 species